UCGAGAAUUUUUCUCAAUGGGGGAAACCCUGAAGGAGCGACGCCGCGUGGAGGAUGAAGGUCUUCGGGUUGUAAACUCCUGUCAUUUGGGAACAAGCGCCUUACGUUAACUGCGUGAGGCUUGAUAGUACCAGAAGAGGAAGAGACGGCUAACUCUGUGCCAGCAGCCGCGGUAAUACAGAGGUCUCAAGCGUUGUUCGGAUUCAUUGGGCGUAAAGGGUGCGUAGGUGGCGCUGUAAGUCAGGUGUGAAAUUUCGGAGCUUAACUCCGAAACUGCAUUUGAUACUGCGGUGCUCGAGGACUGGAGAGGAGACUGGAAUUUACGGUGUAGCAGUGAAAUGCGUAGAGAUCGUAAGGAAGACCAGUGGCGAAGGCGGGUCUCUGGACAGUUCCUGACACUGAGGCACGAAGGCCAGGGGAGCAAACGGGAUUAGAUACCCCGGUAGUCC
rnacentral:rRNA from 1 species